AUAUUGCGCAAUGGGCGAAAGCCUGACGCAGCAAUUCCGCGUGGAGGAUGAAGGUUCUUGGAUUGUAAACUCCUUUCGGUGGUGACGAUUAUGACGGUAGCCACAGAAGAAGCACCGGCUAACUACGUGCCAGCAGCCGCGGUAAGACGUAGGGUGCAAGCGUUAUCCGGAAUCAUUGGGUUUAAAGGGUCCGUAGGCGGCCUUAUAAGUCAGCGGUGAAAGUUUUUGGCUUAACCAAAAAAUUGCCGUUGAUACUGUGAGGCUUGAAUAUUUGUGAAGUAACUAGAAUAUGUAGUGUAGCGGUGAAAUGCUUAGAUAUUACAUGGAAUACCAAUUGCGAAGGCAGGUUACUAACAAAUUAUUGACGCUGAUGGACGAAAGCGUGGGUAGCGAACAG
rnacentral:rRNA from 1 species